CAGGUGAAACUUUCACUGAACCAAGAGGAAUUGUGAGUGUGUGCGCUUCCCAUUUAGCCAUAUGGUUUUGAGCUGCAUGGGUGCCCUGCGUGGGAGGUCCAGAUCCUCCCUGCUCUUAGCGGCAUUAGAAGAUGUAGGCACGGCAGUGCAAGAGAUCGGGAGAAGAAGAUCUGGUACUUGUCAUGCAACCCUGAGACUGGAUUGCAUCAGCCUCCUAAAAGAAGCUGGAAGGAGGAGGAUCUCCCACUAAGAGAAGGCAGAAGAGAGAAACUGGUACUUAUUUUUUGUGUGCAAAUAAAUAACUAUACUUUCAGAUACUUAUCCCUCCUACAUCCAAGCUCUGUAAUCAAUUGUUAAUUUAAACUCCUGUCUGAGGGGUGAAAAACUAAUGCUCUCUCUCAAACUACCAGCUUCCUGAGCUCUUUAACUAGUAGUAAGACUAAUAGGAAUGGAAUUCUUUUAAAAGGAUUAGCCAUCCCCUUUAACAUCUGACUCACUGCUACAUGCAGAUUCAUGAAACUGUGAGAUUCCUAACCCAAACAUGUAUGGAGAUGAAAUCUCUAUCGUGUCAGGACACAGCUACUUCUCCCUGGUUUUUAGUGCCAAGGUAGGUUAUUCUGCUUAGAGCUGGCUCUAAUUAGUGUUCCCACAAGUUGAAAAAUUCUUUAUGUGCAACAAAGUUGCAGGACACUUUAGGAACAUCCUCUCCUAACUAGGAUUUAGAUAUAACCAAAGGAGAGCUUGGCCUUGGAAUAUCCUUCCCAGAAGCUAGAUUGAGUGCCAAGUAAGCUCAGACAGGGCUUCGGGAGUUUAUUCUGUAAAACAUAGCCCUAGCAUUCUGUUGGCCAGGGCAGAAGACACUUUGACUCCCCUGAACCUGAGUGCAAAAAACCAAACUCAAACCAAACGGGUGGCGCAGAAGUAUGACACCUCUGGGAGUUGGUGCCCAGGGCCAUUAGAGCUAGAAUCACCUCUGUAUUCAUAACUGUUAUAGCUACCCAGACAGUGAAGAUGUAAUUAAUAAAGCUGCUAGUUAUAUACCUAAAGAUGAAGUCUAUUUAUUCUGAAUCAGAGAGCUCCGGGUCACGUAAAGCGUGAGAGGCACUGAGAAAGGUACAAAAUUGCAUUUGAAAUCUUCAAUGAAAUCCUUACAACCAGAUCUGUACAGCUGAAUACUCCCAUAUCUGAAUAAAUGAGGAGAAAAUGUAUAACAACACCAA